AACGAACGCUGGCGGCAUGCCUAACACAUGCAAGUCGAACGAGACCUUCGGGCCUAGUGGCGCACGGGUGCGUAACGCGUGGGAAUCUGCCCUUGGGUUCGGAAUAACAGUUGGAAACGACUGCUAAUACCGGAUGAUGACGUAAGUCCAAAGAUUUAUCGCCCAGGGAUGAGCCCGCGUAGGAUUAGCUAGUUGGUGGGGUAAAGGCCUACCAAGGCGACGAUCCUUAGCUGGUCUGAGAGGAUGAUCAGCCACACUGGGACUGAGACACGGCCCAGACUCCUACGGGAGGCAGCAGUGGGUAAUAUUGGACGAUGGGCGAAGGCCUGAUCCAGCAAUGCCGCGUGAGUGAUGAAGGCCUUAGGGUUGUAAAGCUCUUUUACCCGGGAUGAUAAUGACAGUACCGGGAGAAUAAGCCCCGGCUAACUCCGUG
rnacentral:rRNA from 1 species